rnacentral:lncRNA from 1 species
UCAUUACAAUCAAAAGGAGACAAUUCCAUCAUUUAGCAUAUCAACCAUUGUCUGGUCGAAUAUGACGGUUGUUUGUACAAUGUGUCACAUCAUACUCGAGAAAUUUCCACCACUCUUAGUAUAUAAAAGUUGUUGGAAUAUUAUGUUAAUAUUUUAAUAUAGGGAGAUGAAUUUGAAAAGGUUCUUUAAGUUCCACAUUGUGUGUUAGUUGAAAAAACUCCUUAGUCUCACAUUGCUUAGGUGUGAUAUCUUAGCUGCCUCACUUUAUUAUAUAAGGAAAUUCCUCGUUUCAUUCCAAAAUACACCAAAAACUUAUUUUGAGUUUU